CAUGGAUGUAUGGGUACAGGGCAUGGAUGUAUGGAUACAGGGCAUGGAUGUAGGGGUACCGCGCAUGGAUGUAUGGUGAUCGGGCAUGCUGUACUGAGGUACGGGGCAUGGAUGUAUGGGUACAGGGCAU